CUACGGGGCGCACCAGUGGGGAAUAUUGCACAAUGGGGGGAACCCUGAUGCAGCAACGCCGCGUGGAGGAUGACGCAUUUCGGUGUGUAAACUCCUUUUAUAUGUCAAGAAAAUGACGGUAGCAUAUGAAUAAGCACCGGCUAACUCCGUGCCAGCAGCCGCGGUAAUACGGAGGGUGCAAGCGUUACUCGGAAUCACUGGGCGUAAAGGACGCGUAGGCGGGUUGGAAAGUCAGGUGUGAAAUCCUACAGCUUAACUGUAGAACUGCACUUGAAACUUCUAAUCUAGAGUAUGGGAGGGGGAGAUGGAAUUAGUGGUGUAGGGGUAAAAUCCGUAGAUAUCACUAGGAAUACCUAAAGCGAAGGCGAUCUCCUGGAACAUUACUGACGCUAAGGCGUGAAAGCGUGGGGAGCAAACAGGAUUAGAUACCCCAGUAGUC
rnacentral:rRNA from 1 species